GUAUGAAUGGCAUAACGAGGGCUUAACUGUCUCCUCUUUCCAGUCAAUGAAAUUGAUCUCCCCGUGCAGAAGCGGGGAUAAGCACAUAAGACGAGAAGACCCUAUGGAGCUUUAGACACCAAGACAGAUCAUGUUAAACAACCCUCAUACAACGGCCCAAACUUAAUGAUCACCUGUCCUAAUGUCUUCGGUUGGGGCGACCAUGGGGUAGCACAAAACCCCCAUGCGGAAUAGGAGGACAACCCAAUAUUUUUCCUCUCCUCCCACAAGCAAGAGCCACAGCUCUAACUAGCAGAACAUCUGACCUCACAUGAUCCGGCCCUUCGCCGAUCAACGGACCAAGUUACCCUAGGGAUAACAGCGCAAUCCCCUUUUAGAGCCCAUAUCGACAAGGGGGUUUACGACCUCGAUGUUGGAUCAGGACAUCCUAAUGGUGCAGCCGCUAUUAAGGGUUCGUUUGUUCAACGAUUAAAGUCCUAC
rnacentral:rRNA from 1 species